GGUAUAAUAGCUUAAAUUAAAGCAUUCCAUUGAAAAUGGGAAAGAUAGCAUUAUGCUUUAUGCCU
rnacentral:tRNA from 1 species